AGGACGAACGCUGGCGGCGUGCUUAACACAUGCAAGUCGAGCGGUAAGGCCUUUCGGGGUACACGAGCGGCGAACGGGUGAGUAACACGUGGGUGAUCUGCCCUGCACUCUGGGAUAAGCCUGGGAAACUGGGUCUAAUACCGGAUAUGACCUGCUCUCGCAGUGGGGGUGGGUGGAAAGAUUUAUCGGUG
rnacentral:rRNA from 1 species